rnacentral:lncRNA from 1 species
CCCACCGCAUUGCUCCUUCCUCCAGUCCAUAACCAGUGAAGUGAACACUUGAUAAGAAAAUUACCCAAUUCAAUACUCCAUAUCAAUGGUCCAUCACUAUGAUUAACACCACCCAAAUUAUGAAAAAGGACAACAACAAAAACUAAAUAAAAUUAACAUAUUUAAGAUCUAACACCUAAUCGACAUUCAUACUUUCAUUGUAGCAAAUCAAACGAGCAAAGACAACUGGUUUGGAU